CAGUCCCUGUGUUGACACAGGGGUGGGAAGGAGGAUUACCAAAUGGAUUACCAUUAGUGACUACACCCCAAAACGCAUCUUUUCUGGCAACUGCUUCUCUUUCCUGGUUCUAGGAUCUUCUUCUCAUCUCUUACUAUAUGAUGAUUCUUCCUCAACCCUGCCACCGGUCACCUGCAUUCCUUCAUCCUUUGUGGUUGAACAAGGAGCUUUAAAUGCAAUGCCUACUCCCAUAAAGGUUGGGAUCCUUCAGCUAGGCAAAGUCAAAGAAAUUUCCUGGCAGGUGGUUUCAAUAGCCAGUAGAACCCUGACAGAGAUGACAGAGUGCUUGGAUGGGGAGAGCCAGUGCUAUUUUGCAGAAGCCAAAGAAAGGGAGAACAAAGGGAGACCUACACCUUCUGAAUUACAGGAUCCUGAUUCUGAGUCAAGUAUCAGGAAAAGCUGACCGUUUAAGGAAAUAAAGGCACUUUUAAAAGGUGCCUGGCUAGAAUGAGUAAUUUUAGAAGUUUUGUGAAGCUUCCAUGGUAAAAGUAAGAUUGCUGUUGGCUUAUUCUUGCUCUACCCCCAUCAUCGGUUUCAGCGUUCUUUAUAUGAGUGAGCCAGCAUUAUUG
rnacentral:lncRNA from 1 species